AAGCACACCUCUACAACGAGGAGUCACGAGAUUGAUAUGUCCCAUAAACAAGACGUGACAUACCAAGAAUCGAAACCCUCACCAAAACCAUCGCUAGACAACAAGGCUACAAAAUUGCAAAACCGACGCAAACCAGUUGCCGAAGCAACACUAACCAGUCAUAAUAAACUAGACUAAAAAACAAAAGGACAAGGUGAUGUGUCCACAAGGAGAUGCAACUGCAAGUUGGCAGUAGGCGUAAGGAGCAUAGGUAGAGGCAGGUGUAGAAAUGUCGGGAGGAGUGCGAACACCAGUUGUGGUCGGGACGAACUCAGAGAGGUAGGGAGGAAAGGGUUCCAACCAGAGCCACCAUAGUCGUCAGAACCGGAGUUGGUCGCAGUAGUGGUAAGAAAUAACGGUAACGACAUAGGUGGUAAAGGGGUUGCCAAGCCAAUACCACCCACGUCAUUGAACCGCCAUCCUCACCACCACCACGGACCCAAAGAGGACAAAACGAUAGUUCUAAGGGCAGAGCCCUCGGAUGUCCAAACAACCGAGAGACAACAAUUGGCAAAUAUGCACACCAACACAGAUCUGCAACCACCAUUUUACCCAAGACUCGCAAGAAGGCGAGACCACAAAACCCGGCCAAACGAGGCCCAAAAAUCUACACUAAUCCGAGAAUAGAAUCCACCAGUCCUCUAAUCUUAGUGGAGGACGAGGACAUACAAAGGAAGACCAUCUGCAACUUCACCACACAAGUGAGAUUCGUAGCUUUCACGAGGCAAGAAGCAGAGCUGCCACAAAACUGGGCACUAAAGGUAGAGCAGCCACACAAGAGUGUCACCACCAUGAAAUCAAGCAGAUGAAGAUGGAUUUGACCCACCAACAACCACAAAUUCAACCUGAAAUCACGAAUCAAGCCUCAAUUCAAGGAAAAGACCUCAAGAUAAGGCAAGGGACGAAAUCUAGGUGGGAGUCACCAUAGCCAUGCCCAUGGCAACCCAUAAAAUGGCGCGGAGGGGGGGGGACCUGUGAAAGGAAGAGAAAAGAAAAGAAAGAAAAAAAGUGGAGAGGAGAAACGAAAUCGAGGAUGUGGGAAAAACGGAAUGGCAGGGAGGGUGAAGAUUGGGGGAAGAUAGGAAGGGGAGAAGAGCUAGAAGGGGGAGAGAUGGGAUGUCGUCGACUCCAAGCCGUAGCAAGGGACCGACUCCACUCCGUAAUAAGGGACCGACGGCUAAGGUGGUUGCAGAUCUAGGGUUUUGGGCAAGAAGGAGGGCAACAACUUGAGAGAGACCUAUUCAUUGGGCCUUCGACAAAAGGGAAGGUGGGGAAAGUGUAUUCCUGGUAAUGAAAAGAAAAGGACCCAUUUGUCCAGGCUCGAAGAAAAAGGAAGCGGGGAAAGUUGUAUUUUUGCCAUAGAUUUUCUGUUGGCAGUGAGCCUUGAAGAAAAUGGAAGGUGAUAACAGCGGAAUAUGUGGCUUUUUGCUUUUGGCCUUUUGUUUUCUUCGUUUUGCUAAAUGUUGAGACUUGAGAAAAGAACUUCUAAUGUUGAAC